GAACCCGUUUGAUUAUUAUUCAUUGGGUAUUUUAUACAUAAUAAAGUAACUAAGUAUGAGCAUUCCGUGUAUUAGGAACCUAAUUAUACAUUUGUUUUUUCUGUCUUAUAUGAAAAUUAACUUUCUGCUCGACAUUAUAUUUCAAUGAAUUUGUUGCGGUAUCCACGCAGAGAUGAUGCAGACGAUGUGUUCUACGUCACGAACCGUAGAAAUUCUAAGCGAAUUGCGUUU